rnacentral:rRNA from 1 species
UACGUAGGGAGCAAGCGUUGUCCGGAAUCAUUGGGCGUAAAGCGCGCGUAGGCGGCCCGAUAAGUCCGCUGUGAAAGUCAACGGCUCAACUGUUGGAUGCCGGUGGAUACUGUCGGGCUAGAGUACGGAAGAGGCAAGUGGAAUUCCUGGUGUAGCGGUGGAAUGCGCAGAUAUCAGGAGGAACACCUAUAGCGAAGGCAGCUUGCUGGGACGUUACUGACGCUAAGGCGCGAAAGCGUGGGGAGCGAACGAGG